rnacentral:rRNA from 1 species
AGUUCGAUUAUGGUCAGGAUUAACGCUGGCGGGAUGUUUUACACAUGCAAGUCGAACGGCAGCACGGACUUCGGUCUGGGUGGCGAGUGUGGCGAACGGGUGAGAAGGUAUCGGAACGUGCCUAGUAGCGGGGGAUAACUACGCGAAAGCAGAAGCACACGUACACGACUUGUGGGAAAGCGGGGGACCUUGUAGCCUCGCACUAAUAGAGCGCAUUAUGGGAUAUCGGAUUAGCUAGUUGGUGGGGUAAACGGGCUCACCAAGGCGACGAUCCGUAGCUGGUUUGAGAGGACGACCAGCCACACUGGGACUGAGACACGGCCCAGACUCAGCUGGAGGCAGCAGUGGGGAAUUUUGGACAAUGGGAAACCCUGAUCCAGCCAUCCCGGGCGUGUGCGAUGAAGGCUCUCGGGUUGUAAAAGCACUUCUUGGCAGGAAAGAAACGGCACGAUAUACCUGUGCAACUGACGGUACCUGCAGAAUAAGCACCACACAGAUGUGCCAGCAGCCGCGGUAAUACGUAGGUGCAAGCGUUAAUCGGAAUUACUGGGCGUAAAGCGUGUGCAGGCGGUUCGAAAGAAAGACGUGAAACUUAGAGCUUAACUUUUGGAACUGCAUUUUUAACUACCGAGCUAGAGUGUGUCAGAGGAGGUGGAAUUCGCGUGUAGCAGGAAAUGCGUAGAUAUGCGAUAUUCAACGGAUGGCGAAGGCAGCCUCUCCUGGGAUAAUAUUGAUGCUCAUGCACGAAAGCGGGAGCAAACAGGAUUAGAUACCCUGGUAGUCCACGCCCUAAACGAUGUCAAUUUAUUGGGUUGGGGCCUUCGGGCCUUGGUAGCAGCUAAUCGCGUGAAGUUGACCGCCUGGGAGCACGGUCGCAAGAUUAAAACUCGAAGGAAUUGGACGGGGACCCGCACAAGCGUGGUGGAUGAUGUGAUUAAUUCUGAUGUAACGCGAAAACCCACUCUUACCCUUGAUAUUACGUUCAACUCGAAGAGAUUUGGGAGUGCUCGCAGAGGAACCGGAACACAGGUGCUUGCGGCCGGCUUUAUGUCAGCUCGUGUCGAGAGUGUUAAGAAGUCCUGCAACGAGCGCAACCCUUGUCAUUAGUUGCCAGCGAAAGGGCACCUAAUGAGACUGCUUGUGACAAACCGAGGAAGGUGGGAUGACGCUGUCCUCAUGGCCUCAUAGUGGGCAGGGCUUCACGUCAUACAAUGGUCGGGACAGAGGGUCGCCAACCCGCGAGGGGGAGCCAACUCAGAAACCCGAUCGUAGUCCGAUCGCAGUCUGCAACUCGACUGCGUGUCAACUCAGUAAUCGCGGAUCAGCGUCGGUGGUGAAUACGUUCCCGGGUCUGGGACACACCGCCCGUCACACCAUGGGGGAGUGGGUUUUACCAGAAGUAGUUGCGCCUUAACUGUAUGGGAGGGCGAUUACCACGGUAGGAUUCAUGACUGGGGUGAAGUCGUAACAAGGUAG